rnacentral:rRNA from 1 species
GAUGAACGCUAGCGAUAGGCCUAACACAUGCAAGUCGAGGGGCAUCACAUGAGGCAGCAAUGCCGAUGGUGGCGACCGGCGCACGGGUGAGUAACACGUAUGCAACCUGCCUUCAACAAGGGGAUAACCCGUUGAAAAACGGACUAAUACCCUAUAAUACAGGGGUCCCGCAUGGGGAUAUUUGUUAAAGAUUGAUCGGUUGAAGAUGGGCAUGCGUUCCAUUAGCUGGUUGGUGAGGUAACGGCUCACCAAGGCAACGAUGGAUAGGGGAACUGAGAGGUUUAUCCCCCACACUGGUACUGAGACACGGACCAGACUCCUACGGGAGGCAGCAGUGAGGAAUAUUGGUCAAUGGACGCAAGUCUGAACCAGCCACGUCGCGUGAAGGAAGACGGCCCUACGGGUUGUAAACUUCUUUUAUACGGGAAUAAAGUGCCCCACGUGUGGGGUUUUGCAAGUACCGUAUGAAUAAGGAUCGGCUAACUCCGUGCCAGCAGCC